ensembl:lncRNA
GAGAAAGAGAGAGAGGGAGAGAGAGAAGGAUCAAGAGAAGGAGCAAGAGGGAGAGAGAUAGCGACAGAGGCAGAGACAGAGAGAGACCAAGAGAGACCAAGAGAGAGAUAGCUACAGAGGCAGAGACUGAGAGAGAGAGAGAGAGAGAGAGAGAGAGAGAGUGAGAGAGAGCGAGAGAGAGAGAGAGCUAGAGAGAGAGAGAGCGAGAGAGAGAGAGAGAGAGAGAGAGAGAGAGAGCGACAGAGGCUGAGGCAGAGACCAAGUGAGAGAGAGUUUGCAUUCACAUGUGCCUGUGAUUCGCCUCCUUAUCUUGCGCUGCAACAAAGCCAUGUCUGUUCUGUGUGGCACAUCAGUGCCUAUCGAGCGUUUACAUAAGAGCGGGGGCGGCUAAGGCGGCUGGAGAGAGGCGAGUGCUGAUAAAUAUACAUGUAUGUGUGUGUGUGUGUGUGUGUGUGUGUGUGUGUGUGUGUGUGUGUGUGUGUGUGUGUGUGUGUGUGUGUGUGUGUGUGAUGGGGUGCACUUUUACAAGCUCUCUCAAUGUGGUAUGACAAUUUGAUUUGACUUCAAACUAACAGCGUUAAUGUUUGUGCCCACACUAAUGUAGCUGUUUGUGCCCACAUUAAUUUAACCAAAGGGAAAAGUUAAAUCAGGAAGAUGAUAAUGCCCUUGUGUGUAUAUUCGAUCUCCAAAUGGGAAGUCAAUAAAUGUGGUGGUUAACAGAAAUACUAGUCUCACCGCAUUGGAUUGAGUAAGGGCACAGACAAGUUGAUGCAAGAGGGAUUCCAAUAAAACGCUACAAAUGUGCGUACUUUAACAACCUAUAUCUAUGCCCACCCUUUUUAUCUUUGCCAACACAGAAAAGUCUUAAGAUAAUCACAGAGUGAUUGGGUCAUUACAUCAGGGCGGCCUUUCUAAACACAGGGCUAUGUUUCUCUAGCUACACAUAGUAUCAGAGUUGUAUUUAUAUUUUUGGAAAUGUGUUUCACUGAAGUAGGAACGUUUGGGGUUUACAGAUCACAACCUUUAACCUUCUGCAUCUCCUGCUGUGGCACACAUGGCAUCAAAAGCCAGAACUCUUCUGCUGUGUUCCAGAACCACUGAUGAGAUCAAGGCAGAAACCCGGCCUGGAUCUGCUCAAGGGGUCUCGCUGGGGUACUUACACCCCCUAAAGCCACUAAUUAAGCAAGUCACUGCAAAGCCUUCACCCCCUUUACUCCUAAUUAAUGCAUGCAUGUAACCAGAUACAUGCUUUGAUGUGUAACACAGCAUUUCAAUGUAAAACAACAUGUUCAUCCAGUUCAAGGUUUACUAAGAAACCAGUUACAGGCUGACAUGCUCAGACAGGAAUGACACAUUCAAGGUACCCUGAAUAUCCCAUGCUAUUUGGGAGGGGAUUCAAGCCUGUUGACAAGCAGCAUUAACCAGAAUUUUGCCUUUUAAAAAUUCUUUACAUUGACCCUUAUUUCUUAGAUUCAAUAAACACAUGGAAAAUCUUGAGGUAGUAUUUGAAGAUGUACGUAAUCCUGAAUACCAUUUCUGUCCGAAGAGGAAGUUGCAAGAGGGAUACUUUCAAAAUGAGAGUUUGAUAAUGUGACUGGAAAAAAC